GACCAUCAAAAGAUUACAGUCAAAUCGCAUCAAAAUUUGAGAAGAUUAUGUCAAAAUACAGAUCAUGGAGUGCACAACCAAGUACAUGAUGAGAUAGAACAACUUAAGACGAUCUAUCGUAUUGUGCACUUCUCCUUGCACAUUCCAGGAUUGUGCACUUCUCCUUGCACAUUCCAGGAUUGUUUUGUCUGCCGUUAUGAAAUACGCUGCAAUUGAUGCUGAAAACAGGAAGAAAGCAUAUCAAUAUUCUUAAACCGUGACACACACAACAAAAUGGACAUCUUUCGUCACUAAACUUGCAUUCCACACAAUAAAGUCAAAUUGAUCACAGAUAUAUUUCUCAAUGUAAAGAAGUAUUAAUGUUAGACGAGGUCUUAUGUAACAGGUAUAAAUCCAUGUCUGAGUAAAUUUUACACCUUAUAAUCACUUAGGAACGUAUGUUUGGAAGGUUCUAAUUGCAAGAAAAUAACAGAACAAAAGAGAGGGUGUAUUUAGAGGUGUAAACCGGGCCCAAUGGACCUUCGAGGCAGAGGCCAGCACAAUCCCUCCAUCGAAAAGGGGCACGACAAGCCCUCUAUCGAUCCAGAAAGUUGCAUAAAUUAUUUAUUUUUUCAGUUAAUUUUUAAGAAAAAUAGAAAAAGCUCGCAAGGUAUUGGAACUCAAUAGCUAGGCCCACAUUAGGCAUACGAAGUAAGAGCCGAGUGCUGCCCAUCUUCUAGUUCUUCUAUAUUUUCACAGUACUCAAAUUGUUCAUUUAUUUAUUUAAAAAAAAAAAAACAUAAUUUACUCAUGAAACUUCGGCUUUUAGUUAUAUGCUAAUAUUAUAUUAAAGGAAAGAGCAGUCAAUAACACCAAGAAAUUUCCUUUAUCAUCUAAAUUAUGAGAAAUUUAACAAAAAUAACCUUCUUCAUCAAUGACAAAGAAGGAAUUUUUCAAAAGUCAAAAUUAGCUAAGCUUUAUAUAUUAUGAACUAUCCAAUACAAAUUAAAUUUUGACUUACCAGCAGAUAUAAUGAGUGCCUGGGCACCGUACUCAGAUUGUUCAUUUAGUUUUCGGGGGGGGGGGGGGGGGGGGAAAAAAAAANNNNNNNNNNNNNNNNNNNNNNNNNNNNNNNNNNNNNNNNNNNNNNNNNNNNNNNNNNNNNNNNNNNNNNNNNNNNNNNNNNNNNNNNNNNNNNNNNNNNNNNNNNNNNNNNNNNNNNNNNNNNNNNNNNNNNNNNNNNNNNNNNNNNNNNNNNNNNNNNNNNNNNNNNNGGGGGGGGGGGGGGGGGGGGAAUAAAUAAAUAAAAAUUACUUGUGAAACUUCAGCUCCUAGUUAUAUUAGGAUUAUACUACUUGUACACAGAAAUGGUAUAUAAGGGGUUACGUAAAAUGAUGUCAAGGGAAAAGAUUGGAUGAAAAAGUUGAUUGCGUUUUAAACUGACAAGUGAUAAAGUGACGUGACAUUAUGUAACAAAUUAUAUAAAGAUUGAUGUACAUGGAGCAAGGUCCAUUAUAUUAAAGGAAAGAGCAGUCAAAAACAUCAAGAAAUUUCCUUUAUCAUCUAAAUUAUGAGCAACCUAACAAAAAUAACCUUUUUCUUUAAUGACAAAGAAGGAAUUUUUCAAAAGUCAUAAUAUAAAGCCAAGCUUCAUAUGUUAUGAACUAUUCAAUACAAAUUAAAUUCCGACUUACCAGCAGAUAUAAUGAGUGCCUGGGCCGUAUAAUUGAGAUUUGCCUUUGCCCAAGGUACCGUUCGACAAACAAUCAACUGAAAAUUUAGGCAGGGGAAUUUAUUAAUUCUAUAAUGCAAAGGAAAGGCAAGUAGCAUUAGUUGACCAUACUCCCAAAAACAUAAAAGAAAACAAAAAUCAAAAUAGAUCCCAGCACAAAAUGUAAAAAGGAGGAUCCAGUUUACUUGAUUGCUUGACGAGGUUUUACAAGGAAACAAACAUGACUAAAUCAUCACGAACAAGGGCUUUGUUCACUACAAUCAAAGCAUACAUAUCUUGUACAUUUCAUCUGUUUAGCGUGUUUGGCCUAGCUUAAGUAGUUUCAUUAUAAGUAAAUAAGUUAAAAAAACUAGCUCUUUUCAGAGGUCCAAGUUGAAAAUAAGCAAAUUUUCUUACUUAAAAGUAAGAAACUGAUAAAUUAUCCUGGACGCUUGGAUACAAAAAAUUACUUAAAAAUAAGUUUCACUGUUUAUUAAGCUUCGCAAACAUGCUCUCUAGGCAGUGAAUGUUGCGGCAUUCACUUAGCGUCCUGAAGUCUCUCUGCCAAUAAAAUUUCUCUAGAUUAAUGUUCAAGAAUUUAGAAAAUAUUGCCCUGUUAUUGUAAAGAUUUGUUCAGAAGUAUUAUUCCUAAUUAAAACCAUUAAACCAGAAAUAAGGAAUGUGGAGCAUUUGCACAGAAACACAGACUUGUUUAACAUACAGUCCAAGCAACUCCAUCAUCACACUUAAGGAUCAUAUUGAUAAAUCAUCCAAUUUUCCCAACUCUGAUGCAUCUAGAAAAUACUUUGUAAGCUAGGCCGACACAAGUGCAUGUGCAUGUGUAUCUGUACGUUGUAAUGCUGUAAGCAGAAACCGUAUAAGCCAGUACUGUGGUCUUUGAGAUAGGCCUUGUUGGUUAAUUCUAUUUUAGAAUCAGCAGUGGUUGACAAGAGCAUGUUUUGGUAAACUUAUAGAAAAGCAAAAGUUACUUUUAGUUUCCAAAUAUGUUUCCUAUGCUACUUUUUUCUCAGUUUUAAGUUAAAUAAAAACAGGUAACUUGUUUGUAAGUAAAUUAGUUUUCCUAUAAAAAUAACUUUUAUUUUUUUAUCUUUAAUUACUCAAAAACAUUAUUUACUCUUAGUACAACUGACUGUACGACACAUCAUUCGAGAUUCAGUAUAUGCAAAACACAAUUUGAAUUAAGACUACGAUUGUCAUCUCGUCUCAUGCUUAUAGGACAUUCUAGUUUUCCGUCUGUUCUCAUUUGUAUAUAGCAAAAAGUUAAUAGAUUAAAGAAUCCAAACACCAGUCAUAAAAAUAGCACGAUCAGAAUAUGCAUCUAAAAAUCUAGUACCAUAACUCCAGAAACUAAAUACAAUUAAACAUUUUAAAAAAAAUUAAGUUUUCGAGUAAAAUGAAGUGAAAUCUCAUACAGUAGGCACUGUGCUGGAAACGCUUGCAAUUGCAGCAGCUUUUGCUCCGGCACGCACUCCUUCUGCAACCCAAACAAGUUCAAACUACAUUCUAGGAUUAUUCCAUUCUAUAAUUUCAGUCUAAACCAAAUAGAUUUUCAAAAAUAAAUCCCUUUCAGAAAUUUAACAAUACAGGAUGUGAUCUUUAGCUCUGUUCAAAUAGUACAUAACACAAAUAUAUUACACGCAAAGGAAAUGCAGGCAAAAAGAAAAAUAGACAAAUUUAAUUAUAGCGCCAAAAAUAUGCGGAUUUUUCUGAAAGAACUGUAAAAGGCUAAUUCAACCUCGGCCAUUCCAAACUUUUUAUUUAAUCGCUGAGAAAAUGAAUGCAAAUAAACGAAAAGAAAAGGUAGUUAAAAAAGUGAAGCCCUAUUUUACCCAAUGAAAGACCGUGCAAUGUAUCAAUGAAAUUGAAAUAAAUCAUUCGUAAUUUUAAUCAAGUUUCAAAAGAACCCAUAUGAGAAAUGCUAUAGAAAUUGUAAAACGAGAGAGAAAACCCAAUUUUAUCGAAUCAAACCACCGUGCAAUACAUAUUAAGUAGAAAGGAAAUCGUUUUAUUUUUUUAUUAUUAUUUUUUUCAUUUUAAUCAAUUCUCUCAAGAUACAAUAAAAAUAAAAAUCACAAACACAUUAAGAAGUCUCGGAAAUUUGUGAAACCUUGAGUGCAUUGCCUGGACCGGAGAAUUUUCUCAUCUUCAACUGGGGAUGGGAUCAACAGAGAUUUCUUGCGGUUUGCCCACGUUUCCCUCAUUUCUGACGGAAUUCCCAUUUUUCACCGAUUAGAUUAUACAAUUCUUUUAUUGUUUCUUGGUAUACAUGUAUAAUUUGUAAGCCUUCUCGUGGUUGAAUUGAUUGGAAAUCAAAGUUCAAAUUGAGUUUUUGUUGCCAAAAGCGACGAGGCGCAGCCGCUUAGUUCGAAGAACGGUUCAACACGUAGGAUCGCAUGCGUUUAUCUAAGCUGAGAUCCGCCGUCCAUUUUUGUUGGAGUAACGUUUUUUAUCAUCGGGGUAAUGAAAUUUCGAUAUGGCGAUCCAUUAUACCUUACAUUUGUCUCUCUCUCCUCCCGCUACGUCUCAUAAAAAUUGGACUUAUCAAUCCCAAUAUUUCACAUAAAACGUUAUAUCUGUUGUAAAGUAAUGAGAUAAUUAUUGAUAAUUAUUUAAUAUUAUCAUGAUAGAAGAUCUAUUUUAUUCUAAAUGUAACUCUUAUUUUAGACCAUAUAAAUAUAAGACAUUUCUUCAUAAUAAUACACAAUUGAGUUUUAACUUUUUAUUUUUUCUUUUAUUUUCUCUUUUUCUUUCAAUUUUAUAACACGUUAUCAGCACGAUUCUCUUAAAGUCAAAGCAAAUUAGUUAGAAAGUAAUAUUUUUUCAGAAAUAUAGCCCUUGUUUGAGCCCCAUUUUUGGGAAGAAAAUGAAUUUUUGAAUAGUGUAUUGAUGGAAAAUGUGUUGUUAAAAAAUAAGGAAAUUUUUUUUAUUUGCAUAUAAUAUUAUUUUGUUGAAAAAUGUGUUGUUGAAAUGAUGUCAAAUCACUGUUAAAAAAUGUAUGUUGGUUGAAAAAUGGGGUCCAAACGAGGACAUAAUCACGUGUACCAAAAUUAAUUUGGCAACAUGUGAAUUCUAUCUAUACGUAUGCAUUAAUUCAACUUCGUCCAGUUCACGUCCCAUUUUUUUCAUGGUACCAAUUAAAAUUUGGAGGUUGCUUCAUUCACUACAAUUCAUCAAUUUCUACCUUUUGAUUUUACAUUUUUAUUAUGUGGCAAUCAAUUUCAUGAAGUAGCAUUCAUUAGAUGCUUAUGAAUUCAUUUUUAAUCCAUGGUUUUAUGCGACACUAUUGCAUGUUUUCAAUUCUUGAAUUUGAAUUCGUGUCAAUUUAGAUCAAUUUGAGGCGAAAAAAGAAAAAAUAAAUUUGUACACGAUGUUUUAAUUCAGGAAUACGUGUAGUAUUAGAUGUAUUAAUUUAUGUAAUUCUUUCUUUAAUUUUUUUAUGGAUGAAAAAUAUAUGUUUAUGGUAAAGAAUAACUAUAAAGCAUAUCUUUUCAAGAUUUUUUUAAUACAUGUUUGGUAAUUAAUUUUAAAAUAUAAAUUCAUAUCCAAUUUAUUUGGUAACUAUUUUUUAUUUGCGUGGUAAUUAAUAUUCUUUAACUUGAUUAUAUAUUUGUGUUGUUCUAUCAUAAAUUUUAACUCAAUAUUUUAUCAUAUUGUUACUCCUGAGGUAGCAUAACAUUAUAAUUAAUAUUCUAGAAGAAUAUUAAUCGAAGAUUUAUCUAUUGUAAAUAAUUUGUUGAUAUUCAUGAAAUAGCACAAUAUUAUAAUUAUAUUUUCGAAGAAUAUUACCGGCUCCUGAAGAGCAUAAAUUAUAUUUUUUAAUAUUCUAAAAGAAUAUUGACGUAUUGAUCUUGACGAAAUAAUAAUAAAAUACAAGUGCUCCUGAAGUAGCAUAUAUUUUGAAGAAAAUAUUAUUUUAGUGUUUAUCUCAGAAUGAAAACACGUAACUUAUGUUAUUAAUUACUUGAUUAAUCAUUAUAUGAUGUUUAAUCACAUUCUUCAAAACCAAUUGUAUUUUUUUUAUUGCGUAGUUAAUCAAAUGGCAAACAUCAUGAAACUCGAGUUUGCUGCACUUUAUAUAUUUGACAAAAAUUAUCUAUCAUGGGUACUCGAUACUGAUAUCCAUCUUGUCUAAAAAUGUUUGGGAGAGACAAUAAAAGAAGGAAACAAAGAAUCCUUGCAGGAUCAUGCAAAUGCACUCAUCUUCCUUCGUCAUCAUUUUCACGAUGGGCUGAAAAUUGAAUAUCUCACUGAAAAGGAUCCACAAGUUCUUUGAAAAAAAUUAACUAAAAGAUUUGAUCAUCAGAGCACUAUAGUCAUUCUCAAAGCCUACUAUGUGUAGAUGCACCUUCGUUUGCAAGACUUCAAAACUGUAAGUUAGUACAAUUCAGAAUAUGUUCAAAAUUGACAUUGUGUAGAGAAAAAAAUCACCGAUGAAGACAUUUUGGAGAAAUUUUUUUCCACCUUUCACGCCUUGAAUGUGCUCCUGCAGCAGCAAUAUCUCGAGCGUGGUUUUAAUAAGUAUUCAAAACUUAUAUCUUGCCUGCUUGUUGCUUAACAGAAUAAUGAACCGCUAAUGAAAAAUCAUGGGUUGCGUCCAAUUGGUUCAUUCUGUACCAUUGCCUGAAGCAAAUGGUACUGUAUUGCUUAAAACAAAUGCAAUAUCAAGACGCGAAUGUGCACGUAAAGUAAACCAUGGACGAAAUAAUCAACAAAGUUAUCAACAACAAGACAACAAUUUCAAAAGGCACAAAAUAAACGGAAGUAGCACACCUAAAAUGAUACAUAAAGAAGGUUGAUUUAGAUGUGGAAUGAAAGGGUAUUGGAUAUGUACUUGUCGUACGGCAAAACACCUUGUAAAUUUCUAUCAAAAAUCAAUCCAGGGAAAGGAAAAAGUGGAGACAAAUUUUGCUGACUAUGAUGAUCCAAUUGAUGUGACUUAUUUGGAUGUCUCCGAUUUUUUUGCUGAUCCAAAUGUGAAUAUUGACCAUUUGAUUGGGGUGGUGUGAUGGAAGAUAAAAAUUAGUUUUUUUAUGUUUCUAGUAUUUCCCUUUAUUUUAGAAAUUUAAUUUGAAAUAUAUUUUUAUUUUUCGCAAAAAAUUUGAACUUUAUUAUGCAUCGUUAAUUUCACAGUAUUCAUUAUCUUAUCAUUUUAUAUUUAAAUUCAAGUUUUUUUUAAAUAUAUCUAUUUUGUCAUAUUGAUAGAUUCAUGAUGGAUUGUUAAGAUACCUGCUUGAUUGAUAGUGCAACUACACAUACUAUUAUUCAAGACAAAAAAUAUUUCUUGGAGUUAACAUUAAAGGAAAAUAAUGUCAAUACAAUAUCAAGUGCAUCGAAUAUCGUUGAAGGCUUCGAAAGAGCUUGUAUUAUUUUAUCAAAUAAUACAAAAUUAUAUAUUAACGAUGCACUUUAUUCUAGCAAAUUCAGAAGAAAUUUGCUUAGUUUUAAAGAUAUCCGCUGCAAUGGAUAUCAUAUUAAGACGAUGCAAGAAAAUAAUACUGAAUAUCUUUCCAUAAUCUCUUUUGUAUCUGAUCAGAAGCAAAUAAAAGAAAAAAUUUAUACACUUUCAUCUGGCAUGUAUUAUACAUUUACAAAAAUGGUUGAAUAAAAUAAUGUUACGAACCAGAAGUUCAUUGACCCAAAAAAAUUUAUUCUUUGACAUGAUCAACUUGAACAUUCAGGAGCUAUAAUGAUGCGUUGAAUAACAAACAAUUUACAUGGACAUUCUUUAAAGAACCAGAAGAUUCUUUUACCUAAUAACUAUCCAUGUGUAGCUUGUUCACAAGGCAAUUUAGUCAUUAGAUUUUCAACUACAAAGGUCAAUACUGAAUCUCCAACUUUCGUAAAAAGAAUUCAUGAAAAUAUAUGUGGGCCAAUACACCCACCAUAUGAACAAUUUCGUUAUUUUAUGAUAUUAAUUUAUUCUUCUAUUAAAUGGUCACAUGUUUGUCUACUUUCCACUAAGAAUGUGGCAUUUGCUAGAUUACUUACUCAAAUUAUAAAAUUACGAGCGCAAUUCCUCCAUUACUCAAUUAAAACUAUUCGUCUUGACAAUGUUGGUGAAUUUAGAUCACGAGCAUUCGAUAAUUAUUGUAUGUCAAUCGGGAUUGUAAUUGAACAUUCAGUUGCGCAUGUCCAUAUACAAAAUGGUUUGACAGAGUCGUUUAUUAAACGCCUACAACUUAUUGCUAGACAAUUACUUAUGAAAAUAAAACUCCCAACUUCUGUUUGAGAUCAUGCCAUAUUACAUGCUACAUCAUUGGUUCGUAUUAGACCAACUGUCUAUUAUCAAUAUUCACCUUUGCAACUAGCAUUUGGUUAUGAACCUGAUAUUUCUCACCUACGAGCCUUUGGUUGUGUUGGCCAAGUCCCUAUUUCACCCCCACAACGUACUAAAAUGGGUCCCCAAUGAUGACUCUAGAUUUAUGUGAGUUUUGAUUUACCAUCGAUUAUUAGGUAUCUUGAGUCUAUAAUGAGUGACUUAUUUACUGCACGUUUUGCAGAUUGUCAUUUUAAUGAAAUGACUUUCCCAACUUUGGGAGGGAAAAAAUUACAUCCUGAAAAACAAGGUAAUAUUACUUGGAAUGAAGCAACUCUAUCUCAUUUUGAUUCCCGCAGCAAUCAAUGUGAGCAAGAGGUUGAAAAAAUAAUUCAUUUGCAAAGAGUUGCAAAUCAAUUACUUGAUAUAUUUGUUGACAAGAAAAUUGACAAAGUCAUAUGUUCCAAUAGAAAAUAUUCUAGCAAAAAUUGAUGUCCAUUUACGACAAUCUGUUGUAGAAAAUGAAUCUCAAAUACGUCAGAAGCGUGGUCAACCAGUUGGUUCAAAAGACUUUGUACCUUGAAAAAGAAAAGUACAUGAGAAAAAUCGACCAAAAACUUCGGAAGAAAUCACAUUAGAAAAGAUUAAUCAAUCAGAUAUUGAAAAUACGGUUCCUGAAGAACGACAAGUGUCCAAAAAUAAUUAGAUUUUAAUAAAUUAUAUGUUAUCUCAUAAAUUAUGGGAACAAAAUAAUGUUGUUAUAGAUAAUAUUUUCGCCUUUAAUGUGACUUUUGAUAUUAUGUAAAUGAGGAUUCUGAACCACAAUCGGUUAAAAACUGUUAAAAUAGAAAGAUUGGCCAAAAUAGAAAGAAGCUAUAUAGGGGAAAUUGAAUUCUUUGGAGAAAUGAAAAUUUUUUGGACCGAUAGUUCGAAAAUUUGAAAAUGUAAUCCCUGUUGGAUACAAAUGAAUUUUUGUACGAAAGAGAAAUGAAAAUAAUGAAAUUACAAGGUACAAAACCCGACUAGUAGCUCAAGGUUUCUCAUAAAACCAGUAAUUGACUAUAAAGAAAUAUAUUCUCCCGUAAUAGACACCAUCACUUUUAGAUUUUUAAUUAGUUUGACUGUAUCACAAAAGUAUGAUAUGCGCCUUAUGAAUGUAGUAACUGCAUAUUUGUAUGGUUCACUUGAUAAUAACAUAUAUAUAUAUAUAUAUAUAUANNNNNNNNNNNNNNNNNNNNNNNNNNNNNNNNNNNNNNNNNNNNNNNNNNNNNNNNNNNNNNNNNNNNNNNNNNNNNNNNNNNNNNNNNNNNNNNNNNNNNNNNNNNNNNNNNNNNNNNNNNNNNNNNNNNNNNNNNNNNNNNNNNNNNNNNNNNNNNNNNNNNNNNNNNNNNNNNNNNNNNNNNNNNNNNNNNNNNNNNNNNNNNNNNNNNNNNNNNNNNNNNNNNNNNNNNNNNNNNNNNNNNNNNNNNNNNNNNNNNNNNNNNNNNNNNNNNNAUAUUUUUAUUUUUUCUUUUUGGUAUUUUUCAGUUUCUUCUUCUCUCUCUCUCUCUCUCUCUCAUAAAAAAAUUAGUAUAAAAGUAUUAAAUUGACUCAUCUUUUUUAAUUGUUACAUCUAUAUCCCAUCUAAUAUGAAAGUGAAACAUUAAUGAUUAUAGAAAAUAGUACUAGAUGUAAAUCCAUGGACAUUUUAUAUAUCAUGUGGUCAUCAUAGUCUUAAUUUUGCAAUUUUCAAUAUGAAAAAAAAUCUUCUAUUUUUUGUGGAAUUGUACAAUGCAUAUAUUAUUUUUCAUCUUCUAAGAAGCGAUUAUAUUUUCUUUAAGAUAAUGUAAAAUAUCUUAAUAUUAAGCCACUUUCACAAUCAUUUUAAGAAAGUAGUCAAAUUGAAAGUGUUAAAGUAAUGAGAUUUCAAGUGACGGAAGUUAAAAAAUUGCUUUAAAACGCUUAGCGAAAAUAUGUGAUUACCAUAAGGCAUUUAAAGAUGCUAAAAGUUUGUUUUCUGACAUUAUGGAUUUGAGUUCUUAUUUGGCAUGGGCAUUUGAUACAAUAUAUUGUUUGUCAUUAGUAGAUUAAGUAAAAUGUUGCAAAGUGAUGACAUGUCCAAUUGAUGCUGCUAUUAAACACUUAAAAUAACUUUUUUUUUUUGUUUUUUCAAAACAUACUGAGAAACUAAAUUUAAAUAUGACGUGAUAUAUUAGUAUUAAAGAAAUUAUUGUUCAAACCUCAAGAAUCUUUUAGAGUUAAUUAUUUUUUCAUAUAUAAUUGAUAAAGCUCUCUCUUCACUUGAGUUAAGGUUUGAACGAUUUCAAAAAAUUACAAAUUGUAAAUGAUAAUUGUUUGUGGUGUUAGUGUGGAGAUAAUCCCCCCCAUGUUCACUGAACUUUGCCGAAGUCUCCCCAAGAGGUCACUGAACUU
rnacentral:lncRNA from 1 species